ensembl:ncRNA lncRNA:CR43881 long non-coding RNA:CR43881
UAUGAAAUUUUGAUUGGGCGAUAAGUGUGGGGACUGCUGCAUUUGUGUCUCCCAUUGUUUUGUCACCAUAUAUCUGGGUUAAAUCCUGCCAAGUUGGGUAAGGCUUUAAGCACUUCUACAUUCAAUUCAAUUUGCCUUUGGGCAAUACCUGCCUGUCGCUUUGCGGACCACAAGCUCAACUUAAUAUGUUUCAAUUUCAUUGUGCACUCUGCUAAGCCUACGCCUUGGCCAAAACCCGGAGCUUCAAGGACCGCACUUGUGCAUGGGGUAUGUGCAGCCAGAUGGAGAGGAAAAUGUGUGCAAAUAUCCCUGGAAAAUAAGCCAUUAAACGAGGCCAGAAAGUGGGCAUUGAGUGUUUGCCCAUCAUAAAUUGGGCAAAAAUUGCCUGCAAGCUGCACUGCAAAAAAAGAUCGCAAAGCUAUGUCAAAAUAUUAAAAUGGCAAACAGUUCCUAAAGAUAUGGUAACAUACGGUUUUGACUUUAAUUCUACUGUACAAUUCUAAAUAAAAGCAUGAUAUGCAAGUACCAUCUGAAACAG